rnacentral:lncRNA from 1 species
GCCGCCCUUGUUUGAAGCACAGCAGAGAGAAAAAAGACGUUACUGCCGCAUGCCCAUUUGUGAGAAGGAGGAAGAGUUGUUGCUCCUCAUUUGAUAGCAAUCACUCAAUCAAAGUUGUAAUUGUUGUAUUAGCUUUGUUUUAUAUAGAGAAUAAAUUAUUCACUAUAUUUUUUUCUCUAUUUGUUUAUUUGUGUGUGAGAGCUAUUGGGUGUAUUUGGGUUUCGGGUUGUGAGAUUGCCAAACACUUUGUAAACACUCCAUUUGGUUGAUAGUGGAUUAUUGGGUGAGCUCCUACUGCUCCGAGAACGUACUCUAGUUACACUGACUGUUGAGGAACCUCGUUAAAAUCUUGGUGUCUAUUUCUAUUUAUGUUCUUGCAUUUCAUUUAAUAUAUUUCUUGUGAGUUAGCUUGAGUUGGUUCCAUUUGGUUUGGUGCUAUCCUAGCACAACUCUUGUAAUUAGUAACGUUCCAAAACUUCUGGCUCACUUUUAGGAGUGUGUAUAUACUCACUAAAAUUUAGUUGGUGCUCUAAUUUUAUAUCAAAAAGGAAGCAGCUGUACAAAUCUGGGUGUGCCUUUGCAUUUGACGAUGCCACUCUCAUAUGAAGUACAUUAUCUUGCUCAAUUUUCUUUCCACAUUUAUAAUAUUGUUUCUUAAAUUUCAAGUACAACUAUGUCAGGUAAUGAUAAGAAGCGAGCAUUACGGUGAAGCUGGAGUUAAGAGCGUUGUAGGGGGAAUUCAAGUGCCUAUAUGGUGGUGGAGGACAUCACUAAUUCUUUUGCUAGUUUCCUAUCAUAAAUAAAUAGAUGAGAUAGUAUGGCAGUCAGUUGAUAUUGUGUAGAAUAAAACUUUCAAUCAUAUUGUUGCACACCAUGCAAUCCAGUUGUUGGACAUUUCUUGUCACCCCUUCCAUCAUCUCCUAUUUAAACGGUUACGAUUACGCUACGUCUACAUCUUGUUUUGAAAUUCUUAUAUAGAGAAAAAGACAAAAAGAAGAGUGUGGAAAAGGGGAUGGAAGAUGACGGUAAUAGAAGGAGAGAGAAUCCUACUCCGGUGCAAUGUGGUUCCCAUCUUUCACCUUAUUGAAUCUCAAAGUUUAAGCAUCACACUAAACAACAACAGACAUGAGCGCGUACACACAUAUUCUGGUCACCGGUACUUUAGUUGCAGCUGAAGUAUCAUAAGGUGUGUUUUUGAACUCUGACCAUUUAAGACUUGGUGGGUGAUACUACUUAACCCAUUUGGGAAUGCUAACUUCACAUGCGAGCCAUUUGCAAGAGCAAUGACCAUUUUAAGGGCGAUGCUAUCCACUUCUAUUUUUACCUCUCACAACCCUCUCAAUUUUCACAUAGUCACAUGAUGCAUACAUUUUCCCUAAUACAUUCAUUUUCUCUAAACUUAUUGAAAAGUUAUAUUUCGCUCAGCAAACCAUAUCUCCUCAUUGGAUUUUACAUCAAUUUUUUUAUUUAUAUAUUACCAUCCGCGCCUUCUACAUAAACACACCACAAACUAGGUGAUAUACAUUCUGUAUGUUAUUUCUUAGAUAAGGGUUACAUAAUAAAAUUUCAGGGGAUACUGGUCGGAAUCACUAUUCGCUCCAUCUAUUAGGCUCUUGCACGAAAUUUCGAGAGCAAAUAUGUAUACGGAUAGAGUGCUUCCUUAAAAUUGCACAAAGAAAUUUAGUUCUCAGUAAAAAUGGGUGGCAUGGGAGAAAGCGGAGUGUUGAAAAUCCUCGUGUUAUAGAGCAUCUACUUCUACCAGGUAUAUUAUUUUACUCGUUAUUUGCUUUAACAUCAGUUUAUGAAGAUAAAAUUAAUUUGGGUUAAGACUUGAAUCAUAGUUUCAUUUCAUUUUCACUUUAAAAUCAAAGCGGCCAAUUAAAUUUAUUUUUCCAUCCGUUUUUUGUGCAGAGCAUAAACCACUGGUGUUAUAUAUGUGUCAUUCGGCAGUAUUGUGUAUGAGAAGUUUUUUCUUUUGUUAGUAGAAAAUUUGCAUAUGAAUUUGAUUAUUUAAUAGAAAAUUUGUAUAAUGUUGCAAUUCUAUUAAAUUAAGAAUGUAAUUGUAAUCCUAUCAUAUCUGAGUUAUCCUUGUGGGAUUGUACCAUGUAUCUUAGACUAGAUAUUAUCCUAUUAGAGUUGUAAUCCUAUUGUAGUAAGGAAUUUACCUUCCCUACUACUAUAAAUAAAAGCACAAUGAGAUGAGAUAACACACAUAUCACAAUUACACAUCUCUUUCUUCUUUCUAAUUCCGCAGCACCCUCUCUCUCUGUCCUUUAUAAUGAUUCAAUAAAUUAGGCUUACAACAAGUUAUCAGCACGCUCGUGAUGCUGUGUUAAAAAAAAUUGAUUAUCAAUCAGGGGAGUAUUACGUUUUAAUCAUUCUUUUUAUGAUUAACUUAUUAUUUUAUUGAAUUGAUCUACGGGCUAUUGAUUCAAUUUAAUUUUUUUUUGUUGAACGUGAUGCAAUGCAUUGGAGAUGGAAUUCCAAGAAGAAUCUUCUACAAAUUCAAAGACUUUUGUUGUUUUCUGCCAAUUAUGUACGCUUAAAAUAAAGGAAGAUAUUUGAAACGACUAUGAAGCAUGAAAACAUUCCCCAAGAUGUAUGAACCCUUUACAUUUACAUUUACUUUCCAAUAUGUAUAUGUUUCACGCAUUACGCAAUUUUUGCUAUGUGAAACUUGUGAGUCAAAGGAUCGAAAGAAAUUAGAAAUAAUAAGGGUUUUUCAAACCUUAGAGUCGAAAAAAAAUUAAAAUUAAAAUUUGGGAUUCUUUAGCGGCAUGAGCUGCGACUUACAGCUGCACCGCCGCUGGCACCACUUAGCCGAGUCAGCUGGCCUGCAGUCACGCCACCACCUUGGAUAAUGUCAUCUAGACGCUUUGGACCAUGUGUAGUAGCCCUGUGGGCUUGUUGCGAGCCACGGACAAACAGGCCCUAGGCCUGGUUUAGGGUUUUCACGGGCCUGCAACCCACAACCCACUCCAGCAGGCAAGCUACUUAUGUUGAACCUAUCUCCCGUGCCUCUGGCCCAAAACUAGCAAGCCCAAUACUUAUUGGGAUUGUCCAUUCAUCUCGACCUACUUGCAACAAGCCCGAAACUUGCUGGGCUUUGCCCCAUGCCUCGACCUGUUUUCCAGUAGCCACUCUGCUAUUAGGCUCACCUUUCCCUGACCCAAAAUUGAAGCCAGCCGCCGCACACCCACCUAGGCCAGCAAAGUGCUGGACCUGCUCCCUGCGCCUGUUUCGGCCUAAUCUUGCUGCUGGGCUCACCCCAGACCCACGGCCUAGAGGCUUGCAGCCUCUCUGUGACCCAAAAGGCCUGUAGCCGUGCACUGCAUCCAGCCUCCCUGUGUCCCGAAGCGCUUAACUUGAGUUCCCAAAGCAACCUAAAUCCAUUGCACUUAAAUCAGUACCUUGUAUUCUAUGCUCUUGCAGGAACCUCAUUUUUAUGAACCAGAAGUACAUAACUAAACUCGAACCUGCAGUUUCGAAUUUAGUGCCUUUGAAACCGGAAAUUUUCAUAAAACAAUACACCGUGGAAUCCAUAAGUUUUUCAUGUAAGCCAUCCCUUAGAACCUGAAUGUUCUAACAUGGAUGUUUAUAUGUGAGCAUAAGACAUAAACCCCACUUGACUAUCUGGAAGCUGAAAAAUCAUUGAAGCCAACAAUGGCAUGGAAGAGCUGAAUAAUCCUUCGCCUUGAUCUUUAUUUGCUGUCUUAUGCUCGAAACAUUACAAACGGAAGUAUCCCCUGAACAAGAAUUCUAUGGCUCUUUGGCUCGCUCAUACGGACCGUCUAAUCAUGAAAUACAUUACCUGAAGCACCCCUUGAUUACUUACUUGAAUGAGUAUGAUUUUGAAGUUACAAAUCUGACAAAAUUUUGACUGGAGAAUACUUUUCUCGUCAUUCCAUGUUUCUAACUCGCUCUUGAAGUGGCAUUGUAGAAAGCAAAACUUUACCAAAUUAUCGGCUUUGAUUACUACUAUAAAUGUGGGAGAACGGUAUAGACUCAACUUCAGCUGGAGACUACCUAAUAAUGAUACCCAGUUUUGGUUGGGGCCCACCAAAAUUAUGCUCUAAUUCGGUAGAGGCAUACCAAACAGACAUUCCUCAAAUUCCGCCUAUUAUUGUAAUUGGAGGAAUACACCAAAUCACCAUUUAAUCUUAAUGUUGUCCCAGCAAGGAUGUACAAUAUGUCUUACUUAAUUGGGGUUUCAAUUAGUCAACUAAAUAUACAUUGGUUCCAUGAUUCUUGCUAACCAAUAUUGAAUCACGUUAAAAGUCAAAUAUCUUCAAGAUCAAGUUAUUUGCCUUUUAAAUAAUUCGAUCCAUAAUAAUUAACAAUUCAACAUGAGUCUUACAACAUCUAAUUGCUUAGUCACUUAGUUGAUGCAAGAGGUGUUAAUUGCAUGGCCACAAGGAUGACACGUUUAGCUAAUAGCUUUGGAAAGUCACCAUAAUAGAGUGCUCACUAACCACCUUUUUCCUCUCUCCAAUGAUAGUUAGGAUUGGUAUUGACAGAAGCUAGACACAUACAUGCAAAUGUGUUUAAGUUAAGGUGGGGGUGUGCAAAUAAAUAUCAUAGAAGUUGAUAUCUACAACAUCAGAAGUAGCAAAUAUGUAGAAAUUUUAAAGAAAGAAAUACUGGUGUCAUAAAGUUAAGAAUGACAUGGCAUAUUAUAUAAGUAUAAUUUAAUAAGAAUAUUUCAAAUAUAAAUAUAAUGCAUACAUAUAUAUUCUGAAAUACGAGUUCUCACAGCAGCACCCAUUAGACCUAUUGAAGAAGGGUCAGUAGGAGCAACAUCAAGGUCAGCCGGAUCCGCCUCAUUCGAUGGCCCCUCAGAGUCAGAAGAUGACUCGCUCCCCUUCAGAUAUUAUGAGCCCCACCGCAUUUAUCACGAGAGAGGAAGGCACGGGCAAACCAACCUUUCGAAUUUCCGCCAGCAGACAGCUCUAAUCCCAUCUGUCAUGACGGUCUUGCCCCGUAUAACCAGCAAGAUAACCAUGGUCGUAUUCUUGUUCCGUUGUCUUCUUAAAUAACUUCCUGACCUUCGCCAAGUUCGCUUCAUUCUGAUAAAGGAUUUCAAUUUAGAACCUCUCACUUUGAUCAACUUCCUUAAGAGCCCCAUCCAAGGCCGACUGAAGGAUGCUCAGUCAGCAUCCCAUGACCUCUGCUCCGAAGCCAAGACUCGCUACGCUUCCUCUUUAGCUUUUAGUAUCUAAGCAGACUUUGUUUCGGCAUCAGGCAAGCGAUCUACCAGCACAUCUCUCUUAGCAUUCCAAGAUCGUUUGGCAUCCAAAAAUGCCUCCAACUUGGAGCUUUUCUCUUGCAGACUCUUCUCAAACUUCAUUCAGCUGCCUAGUCUAUUCUUAUAGGUCGUCUCGAGCUUCGAGAUCUUACCCACUUGACCCUUGAGCUAAGCCUUCUUCCAAGUGUUCGCCUAAAAAAGGAGAACAAUAAUGAAAACCAAGAAUGAGGGAAAAAUAGCGCUGAAAUCAGAUAAAAGAAAAGGCUAGCUGCAUAUCUGCUAUGGUAGCAUUUUUUUUCAAAUGAUCAGUGUCGACGAUCACCUCCCUAAAGUAGGAAAGGAGACGGUCAAACGGACCAAGGAUUGAGCAUGCUUGGCAUCAUGAAGACCACUCGUGUUGGGGGAAGCAACUCUGAACCGUGAAUAGGCCUGAUCACCAAACACUGCUCUCCACUCAGAGCCAUUUCAGGAAAGACAGACGUGGUGGGCGGUGCUUCUGGGAGAUCAUUGACUAUGCCCUCACUAACAAGGGUCAAAGCAUGGGCUUGCUCAAAAGUCGAAUUUUGAGCUAACGAAGUGCAAACUUGGAUUUGAGGCCUUUGUUGUUGCAGUUGCUGUUGUUGCUUUGGAAAUGUUUGUUUUUGUACCGCAAUUGAAGGUGUUUUCUCCAGGAGAACCUCAGUGGAGCUCCCACAUUUCUUGAAAGGGGGUUUGCCCCAUUCUUCGCUACUAACUAUUGAAGGCAGCUGAAUACCCUCCUUAGUCUAGAAAGUAAGAUCAACGAUUCUAACAUCUUGUCUUGAUGGCGGCUAGAGCUACUCGCUGACUUAGACUUUUUCUUUGAAACCCUGACAUGGAUUCUUUUAAUAUAAUAACCUCAGGUUUCUUCCUUUUCUUCUUCUCGACCUUAGGAGCAUCCUUAGCGGUUUGCAGAGCAGGGAGCAGCCUGUCAUUUUGGCAUCAACCCAUUUUGGGUCUAAAAUGGGAUGAUUGGAGCACGGGGCUACGAUGGCAUCCCUCCCAAAUUGGCAUGGCAUCCAAUAAACUAGUAUUGUGCCAAUUUCUCUCUCUUUCUCUCUCUCAACACUUCCGUAUCGGUGUAGAGUAUACGAAAUUCUAGAAGACACAAAUUGGCACAAUACUAGUUUUUUGGACAUUCGAAACAGGUAAUGAUGCACAUACGAGUAAGGGUGCAUAGCCUAAUUUGAUAACAGAUCAGUAUUUUCUUCCAUAAGGGCGACAAAAGGAAUCUUGCCCCCAAAUCCAAAUACCGGGGAUGAACCCCGAUGCAAAGGCUACUGGGGUCAGAAGGUUUGGCAAGUGUUGCAGUUACGUUAUUGUUAUCCUCUUAUCAAAUUAUGCAACCGUUCAAUUGACGAGCACGACCUGCAAGGAAGGCCUCUUCAUUCUCCUUGUUACGAACUCUGACCAUAGUGGGCUAAAAGAAAAUAACCACAUUAAUGUGGGGUGCCGGAUGAACAGAUGAGAUGGCAGCCAUAUUCUCUGGGUGAUGAAUCAAUUUGGUGAAGGAAUCUGAAUUGAAACAUGAAGAGAAAUUCAAUGUGUUGUUGGAUUGAUGUUGAAAUUGGGGAUUUGAUGAAGAAAGAAAGACGAGGAUUUGAAGAAUACUCAAGGAAACAAAAUCAUCUGGCCGUUGAAAAUGGACCGACUUUUAUUUGGAUCAACGAAUCUGACGGUUAGAAUCAGUACAGAAUAUUAACAGUAAUUUCUUGAUUUUCAUGCACAUGCAACAAACUCAAAGUUUCAUCAUUGCAAACUUUAUGGUACGACUUCCAAGACCACAUGUCUGAAUUUGAAACGUCUCCACUACUCUCUGAGCAUCGAAUCACCACAUAGAGCUAGAAAAUUAAACAGUACAUAUUCUAGUUUACUAUGAAAGGCAUGGUCUUUGGAUAACUAUUCAUCCUCAAGGGGAACAGGUUGCCUUUCAAAUGCAUAAUGUGGGGAAAUUGUGGGACCAUGAUUUUUUUGGAUUAAAGAGUAAGGCUGAUAAGAAUACAAUUACCUUAAAAGUCUAGUCAUGGACUCCACGGCUCCAAGCAGACCUAGAUCAAAUGGAGCAGCGUUGCCACACCCUAAUCCCAAGGUACGUCCCAGAUUGACACGUGACGUCACCACGCACCUGUCCAUUCAUCACGUCUCACCUCCGAGACACGACCAAAAUAGAACAACGCAAUAACUUUUCUCUUAUAUCAUGGCUGGAUCUAACCUUAUGUUAGACUGCCUACAUACUGAUGAGUCAAUAGUGUAUUAUAUAUUGACCCCUAUUCUUAGUGUAAUUUGGCAAUUAUUUUGGUAGAAUUUUGAUACUUUGCUUUAUAUUUUCAAUAUAGGAUAUUCGAUUUCUUCUGGAGCAAAAUAUGACUAAACAAACGAAUUUUGGAGUGAUUCAAAUUGGACGACGUUCGUGUGUUUCUUAGCUUGUUUGUUUCAAAAUUUCAGCAAUUUCUACCAAGCGGUUAUUUUCUGGAGAUUAAAUGAAUGAGCAGUGCGCGUUGCUAGAAAGUGACGUUUCUGGGCUUGAACUGCGUUUUUGGAGCCCAAUAUGACCUCAGAUGGGUUCGUGGCCUUCUGGAGAAGUGUUCAUAAUAGUCUAAGCUUUAAAUCCAGCUAUUUUAGGCUAGUUUUGGAGCUAAUUUGGGUCCAAAAUGUAGCUAUGCAGAUUUUUAGGCGAAUUUACAAAGUUAAUUUAGGAUUAUGUUUUCUAUUUUAUUUCAAUUUAUUAUGUUUUCUAGUUUUAUUCAAAGACCUUUUAGGGCUUUAUUUUUUAUUAGUAUAAAUAAGAUAUUUAGCCAUUAGGUUAGAGAGGGGGGGGGGAGAGAAUGCACGCAUUUUCGCUUUAGAGAGCUUUUGACGAUUCAAGUUUAUUUUCAAGGUGUUUUCUAUCCUUGUUUUUAAUAAUAUUUUAUUUUAUGAUUAUUCGUAACUAGUUUCGUUUGCUAGGGUGAGGCCACGAGCCUUAGCAAAAAUAUGUAGUUUUUUUUUCAAUUUACUUAUGAUAUUAUGCAUGCAAGUUUUGAAUUAUUAAUCACUGUCCUUUAAACUAUCUAAUUGUCUUGAUGAUUGGCCACCAUUAGGGUAUUUAAAAAAGUAAUUUGAUGCAAUUUUGGCGGAGGGCUGUCCCUGAAAUUGGCGCUGACUUCUUGUGGUUAAUAUGUGUAAUGGACGACACGUCUUAAGGGUUGUAUGGUUUUUCAAAAGGAUUUCACAAAACUUAAUGAGUCUUGCAUGUUAACAUUUGAUCUGGACGCCACAGACGGGUUGCAUGUUAGAUAUAUGUUCUAUGUUGGAGGUUCCAAGUAGGAUAUAUUUUAGGAAAACCUAACCUUCAAAAUAUGCAUAUGUAAUUCAUAAGUAAUUGGAAGAACUACAUAGGAUUGUUAAGGUGACGGCGGAACCUAGUGCUCAAAUUUAUUUUCAAAACUAUUUUCUUUUGUUUUAUCUAUUUUCCCAAUUUAUUUAAUUGUUUUUAAUUAAAUUCAUUUUUAAUAUUUUAGAUUAUAAAAUCACCUUUUUCCAAACUUUUUUUCAAAUAAUUAAUUAAUAUUUGGUAUAUACAUAAAUUAUUCAUUCAAUCUCUGUGGAGAUCGACCUUACUUAAGUUGCUAUACUAUGACAACCUUGUACUCUUGUAAGUAUUUUUAAGUGCUUUUAUUCCUACUUUUGCAGGUGGUACAAAUCCCUAUCACACACUAUAGUUCAAAUCAAACCAUUUGUAGUUCACAUUCUCCUACAUUACUAGUACAUUAUAAUAAAAAAGCAUAGGAUUCCAUAAUCACUCAAUGGCAAUCGACGAACAUCACUAGGUUCUAUAAUACGUGAGUCAACCAUUUCAUAACCAGUGUCUUUGUCCACCCUUCACGUUUAUCGCAUUGUUUUCUAGCUAUUCCCGUAACCAUAACAACAAGUCAAAUCAAUGAAUCAAAGAUGCGAAAUAUUAACGUUUAGCUAAGUUAAUCAACCAAUAAAGUUAUAUAGCACUUCAUUAAAUUUAAUAAAGCUAACCUCCAACAAGUUUGUUACUUCCUUAGCUAGAAUCCAAAUCAAUAGCAUUGUAGCUCUAAAUUACAAACACAAAUGUCUACCGAGCACAUCCACUCUAUACAAUCUUAGGUAGGCAGUGAUCACCAUCGCAACCAAGCAUGAUCACUCCUAAAAUGCUUAUAAUCCCCAUUGUGGAUAUACCAAGCAGAACCAUAGCAUAAUCUAAUCGUACAGGUAAUGAUCACCCAUCGCAGAUAUACCAAGCAUGAUCACUCCUAAAACACGUAUGGUCUCCUAUCGCGGAUAUACCAAGCUUGAUCACUCCUAGAAUCUGUAUGGUCCCCCAUUGUGGAUAAACCAAGCAGAACCAUAAGCACAGUCUAAUAACAUAAGCAGUGAUCACCUAUCGCGGAUAUACCAAGCAUGAUCGCCCCAAACAUAUGCAUGGUCCCCUAUCGCGGAUAUACCAAGCAAGACCGUAUCCUAUAGAUCUAGGUAGUGAUCACCCAUCGCGAAUAUACCAAUCAUGAUCACCCCUAGGAUGCGUAUGGUCCACCAGUGUGAAUAUACCAAGCAAAACCAUAGCCAUAGUCUAAUCGUGCAGGCAGUGAUCACCCUUCACAGAUAUACCAAGCAUGAUCACCCAUGAAAUACGUAUGGUCCCCUAUCACGAAUAUACCAAGCAGGACCAUCCAUGUACCACUGUUACAUGGUGCAAUCAUAUCAUUACACAACAAGCACUAAAUUAGUAUGAAUCAUAAUUACUAGCACACACCAUCUAUCCCACAAGACAAACGACCAUUGAAUCACAUAAUACACAUUCUAUAACAUAUGUCAAUUCAUCAUGAAUCACAAUUUUAAAUGUACAUCCUAUCGAUUCCACUUAACUAACCAAUCUUUAAUCACCCAGACAAACGAGUUCUACGGAAUAAUUCUAAUGAGGUUCCAACUCAUAUUUUCAUACAAUAGAUAGAUGGUAGAGUUUAAAAGUAAUGUUUUAAUAUAAAACACAUUUGUAGAACCUUGCUAUAUCCACUAAAUAUACUAGCAUGGGAAUUGUUAGGGUAAUCACCAAUACCGCAUAUAUUAAGUAUAGUGCACAAUCAAAACAUCCCAUAUAGAAGGAAUUUACUAACCAUGAUUUGAACAUUUUCAUUACCAACUGUCGUUUUAGUAAAAUGUGAAGUUCAAUAAUAUAUUUUUGCUUCAUAAGCCAAAAUAGACUGGCAGAACAUUUACUAAUCUAGGGUUAUUACAUAAAGAAUAAAACUAUUACAAGUUAAAGGUGUCCCGCACACCAAUCACAUCAACAGAUUUACCACUCAAUGAGGGCUUAAGAUUUUGGUAUAUGAUUUGUCAAAAACCAUAACCGAAUGAAGAAGAUGUGAAGAUUUGAAGUUAGGGGAGCCAAAUGGUGGAGAGAAAAAAAUCCAGAACAGCGGCAAAGCUGAUGGUUUUACACGCAGGGAAGAAGAAAAAGGAAGCCUAUUGGCAUCCAGAAAGUUCCAUUCGAACUUUACCAAAAUGCCUUUUUAUUCUGAAAAUUCAUAAUUUUCUCGUUUGAAUUUCAAAUUCCAAUUCGUUUGCGCUCACGCGUUUAUAAUAAUACGUACUAUCUAAAUAUACUAAGAAAGUAAAAAAAAUAUUAAAGGAUCAAAUACAUUCAUGUAAAAUCCCCCCCAAAAAAAUAUACGUUGCAAAUAUAAAUGCGUCGAAACUAAGGAUCCAAAAUAUGUAAUUUUAAACAGUGAAAUCCGGGUAUGGGAUUUCACAAGUGUACCAUUGUCAUCCUGUUCUGGGACAAUAAACGAAGUCUAAGUGACUCCUUUGGUAUGACCAUGCUUGUUCCGCAAACACGAGAUCAAAUUCAGAUAUGGAAUCAAUCAGAUUCUUCAUAUGUGCGCCGCAAGCAAUCACAACUCCUAAAAGGGUGCAAUUUCUAUUUCUAGAUAUCAUCUAGGAUUCUCCCGAUUUAGAACGAGGAUUCUAUUCUCAAAAGGUCUCUUUCCAAACAGUACAAAUAGACUUAUCUAGGGUUUGUCUUUUGUAACGCAAUAUGUGAGACCCUGAAAUUAUAGAAGUGUUUUUAUGAACUUUGGAGUGCCUUCGAAUUUUACAAUUUCUAGUUCCUUUUUAAUGGGUGAUAAUUUGACUUGAGUUCAAAGAUUAUUUUGAGGUAAAAAGAUAAAAGUGGACGAGAUUACAAGCUCAUGGCAUCUUUUAAAUUAAUUUUUGGAGCUCGAACGAAUUAAUUUUGGCCUCAGCUGGUCGGGUCUCAGCGGGUGGGGGCAUCAAGGUGUUGGAACGCUGGUCUGGUCUCAGCUGGUCGGGUCUGUCGUGGCUCUAUUCUGGCCCGCCCGCUCCAAGCCGGGAGUUGAGCCGUGUGGAUUGGGCGAAGGCUCAGGCUUCACGAUUCCUAGAGCGGAGGGCACCGCGUAAGGCUGGCUUCACAGAGCAACGAUCACCUCCCGCCCUCGGCAGUGGAAGGAUAACGGGUCGGUGCCACCCGGAUCCAUCAUGGCCCGCUGGACCGUUCCAAUUGAACCAACGCUUUUCAAAUUAGUGCAAAGAAGGCCUACUGACGUUCCGAUUAGAAGAUGCGACUAUGGGACAGAGGUUCAGGGCCGAAGGGGUAGAGGAAGACCUAGGAAAACUUUGGAAGAGACUCUAAGAAAAGACUUAGAGUACUUAGAUCUAACGAAGGACAUGACACAGGAUCGAGCACAAUGGCGUUCUAAGAUUUAUAUAGCCGAUCCCACUCAGUGACUUGGAUUUUCCAAGUCUCCAACCGAGAAGUUUUCCUCACUCGGGAAAUUAAGGGAACACUACCCCAACCUACAUGCUCCACUCAGAAAGCUUCAACAUACAAGCUUUAACAAAAGAAAAUUCAAAGAACUUAGCGAAGAAGGCUUUGGUGUAUUUAACACAAUACGUUGAAAUGAAGGAAAGCUUAUUUAUUGAUAUCCCCGAUAAGCUACAAAUAUGUACAUAUACAUGAGUCAAAAUAAGCACACAAGAGGGAGCCUUCACAAAGGUUGCUUAGGAGAAGUCUCAGCAGUCGGUAGAGCCCCAGAAAGAGAAGGCACUGGAGGGGGAUCAUUUGGAGCCUCAGUACUGGACAGAACCCUAGAAGGAGGAGGCAUCAGAGGUUGAUCAUUUGGAGCUUCAUUACGCGGUACAGCCCCAGAAGACGAAGGCAAUAAAUGCCUUUGGAACAAACCCACAAAUCUCUGAUGAUCAAGUAAAACCUGACCAUCAGUUUCCUUCAUCUGGUCAAGCUUCCUCUUCAUGUUUGUAGCAUAGUCAUGUGCGAGCCGGUGCAACUGUUUAUUCUCAUGCUUGAGCCCUCUAAUCUCCUGUUUGAGACUCAUCACUUCAGCCGACAAUGAUUCAACUUGGCGGGUUCGAGCAAAUAGGCGUUGGGCCAUAUUAGACACAGAACCUGCACACUGAACACUGAGAGCCAGCGAAUCCUUAACAGCUAACUCAUCAGACCGUUUGGAAAGUAGUCUGUUAUCUUUGGGAGUGAGAAGGUUCCUGGCCACCACCGCAGCGGUCAUAUCAUUCUUCAUCACGGAAUCCCCAACGGUAAGAGGACCAGUAGGGGAGACGAAGGAUGGGCGCCAUAUGUUGUCUGGAGAAGGCGGGGCUGCCUCUUCAACAAGGUUCAAGUCAAAACGACGGUCGGAGGGGCCAGACAUUUUCAAAGGUGUUGAAGAGAGAAGAGGUCGGACAAAUCAAGAUCUUAGAAGUGCAAGAAUGAAGCUUCUACUGGUGGAGAUUCAAGUGUGCUUUGGAACUUAAUGACAGCCCCUAUAAAAAUCUGCACUCGACGAAGCUUCAGAAAUCGAAGAGGCGCCUGCUCAGAAAUCGAAGAGGCGUUUGCUUUCUCAAAAGCUGGGCUGCUUAGAGAUCACGAGGGUUGAUCUCAGAAAUCGAAGAGGCGUUUGCUUUCUCAAAAGUUGGGCUGCUCAAAGACCACGAAGGCCGAUCUCAAAAAUCGAAGAGGCGCUCGCUUUCUCAAAAGCUGGGCUCCCCAGAGACCACGAGGGCCGAUCUCAGAAAUCGAAGAGGCACCUACUUUUCCAGCCUUUUCCAGCCUUGUCAGCACCUGUCACACGCACACUCAGUUUUGCGGAAAUUAUGGGCAUUCUGUCAAAGACUUCUGGGGAAGUAGAAAACACAUGAAUCUUACUGUUCAAUCACCCACUUCUCACACGCAACAAUAGCUCAUGGGUACCACAGAUAACUUUGCCAAAGUUCUCUGCCAAAGUUGAGCACGUGAAGCUUGCAGCUCCCACUACAUCGCUCUGACCAAGAAGGGUAAAAGAAUAGCAAAAGAAACAGCACUAACAAAGUUUAGACCCAUAAAUUUUGAAGGUCUAGCUACCAUAUUAUUACCCACAAGGGUAAAGGAACAGUACCACUGCUGGAUAAUUGGAAAGUCCCUGUGUGUCAACCUCUGUGCUUCGUGGCAAGGUAGACUAGCAAACAUGCCCAACCUUUACUCACAUUCGAGAAAACACUCCCAAUAAGAUUGCUUGCUCCAAAAUCGAAGAGGCACCGUCCUCCGAAUCUCGAGAGCCAGACUCCCAACAUGACUACUUUCUUAAAAAAUCGAAGAGAGGGUAAAGGAACAGUACCAUUGCUGGAUAAUUGGAAAGUCCCUGUGUGUCAACCUCUGUGCUUCGUGGCAAGGUAGACUAGCAAACAUGCCAAACCUUUACUCACAUUCGAGAAAACACUCCCAACAAGAUUGCUUGCUCCAAAAUCGAAGAGGCACCGCCCUCCGAAUCUCGAGAGCCAGACUCCCAACAUGAUUACUUUCUCAAAAAUCGAAGAGACACUGCUCCCCGAAUCUCGAGAGCCAGACCCCCAGCAUGAUUGCUUUCUCAAAAAUCGAUGAGGCAUCGUUCUCCGAAUCAAUCGAAGAGGCGCUCGCUUUCUCAAAAGCUGGGCUGCUCAGAGACCACGAGGGCCGAUCUCAGAAAUCGAAGAGGCACCUACUUUUCUAGCCUUGUCAGCACCUGUCACACGCACACUCAGCUUUGCAGAAAUUAUGGGCAUUCUGUCGAAGACUUCUGGUGAAGUAGAAAACACAUGAAUCUUACUGUUCAAUCACCCACUUCUCACACGCAACAAUAGCUCAUGGGUACCACAGAUAACUUUGCCAAAGUUCUCUGCCAAAGUUGAGCACGUGAAGCUUGCAGCUCCCACUACAUCGCUCUGACCAAGAAAGGUAAAAGAAUAGCAAAGAAACAGCACUAACAAAAGUUUAGACACAUAAAUUUUGAAGGUCUAGCUACCAUAUUAUUACCCACAACUGUAAAGGAACAGUACCACUGCUGGAUAAUUGGAAAGUCCCUGUGUGUCAACCUCUGUGCUUCGUGGCAAGGUAGACUAGCAAACAUGCCCAACCUUUACUCACAUUCGAGAAAACACUCCCAAUAAGAUUGCUUGCUCCAAAAUCGAAGAGGCACCGUCCUCCGAAUCUCGAGAGCCAGACUCCCAACAUGACUACUUUCUCAAAAUCGAAGAGAGGGUAAGGGAACAGUACCAUUGCUGGAUAAUUGGAAAGUCCCUGUGUGUCAACCUUUGUGCUUCGUGGCAAGGUAGACUAGCAAACAUGCCCAACCUUUACUCACAUUCGAGACAACACUCCCAACAAGAUUGCUUGCUCCAAAAUCGAAGAGGCACCGCCCUCCGAAUCUCGAGAGCCAGACUCCCAACAUGAUUACUUCCUCAAAAAA